rnacentral:rRNA from 1 species
CCUACGGGUGGCUGCAGUAGGGAAUAUUGGACAAUGGGGGAAACCCUGAUCCAGCGAUGCCGCGUGGAUGAUGAAGGCCUUCGGGUCGUAAAGUCCUUUUCUGAGGGAAGAACUGUUGGGCGAGGAAAUGCGCCUGAUUUGACGGUACCUCAGGAAUAAGCAACGGCUAACUCCGUGCCAGCAGCCGCGGUAAUACGGAGGUUGCAAGCGUUGUUCGGAAUAACUGGGCGUAAAGGGAGCGCAGGCGGCUUGGUAAGUCUAAAGUGAAAUUCCAGGGCUCAACCCUGGACGUGCUUUGGAUACUGCCUGGCUUGAGUACGUGAGAGGAGAUUGGAAUUCCAGGUGUAGCGGUGAAAUGCGUAGAUAUCUGGAGGAACACCGGUGGCGAAAGCGGAUCUCUGGCACGUUACUGACGCUGAGGCUCGAAAGCAUGGGGAGCAAACGGGAUUAGAUACCCGGGUAGUC